CACUACUGCCAGAAUGUACAAGUCCGUCUCGGCGGACUUAGGUGAUCCACACCAGUGUCUCGGACAGCGGUUCGAUUCCGCUCAGCUCCAUUCCAUUUCUUAUUCCUGAUGGGGCUGCAAUGGUUUCGACGGGGCAUAAGGAGGGUGACUGAAGCCCGCUCUGUUCAGUCAGAGCAAACUCGUAAACGCGAACAACAUCGUUCGUUUCUCCCGUCAGACCGCCCCUGUGGCUGCCUGACCUUAUCUAAGGGAGAUGGGGUAAGAUCAGCCUUAUCACCCAAAUGAUCCACGGGGGUUGGAAGGCCCCCUCACAACGAUACUGCAGACGA
rnacentral:tmRNA from 1 species